rnacentral:rRNA from 1 species
GACGUAGGGCGCGAGCGUUGUCCGGAUUUAUUGGGCGUAAAGGGCGCGUAGGCGGUCACGCACGUCCGUUGUGAAAUCGCUCGGCUCAACUGGGCGGGGUCAGCGGAUACGGCGUGGCUGGAGCAAGCUAGGGGGCAAUGGAAUUCCCGGUGUAGUGGUGGAAUGCGUAGAUAUCGGGAGGAACACCAGUGGCGAAGGCGGUUGCCUGGAGCUUUGCUGACGCUGAUGCGCGAAAGCGUGGGGAGCGAGUCGG